rnacentral:lncRNA from 1 species
UGGAAAGUUAUCCUUUGUAUCUCAUGAUCAGAUCACAAGCUAGCAUGUGACUCGGGAGGGAAAAACAAGUCUUUCCAGCAGAUGUCAAGGCAGCGAGCCGGCUUUGCUGACUGCUGUACCUUGCUGUCUGCAGCCAAAGUCAAUUCCUGGUGCAUCCUUGAGAGGCGCUUGAAUGGCUUUCCCCUCGCACACGGAAGCGCAGGGAGCACGGACGUCGUCUUUCAUUGUGAUGGGAAAGGUUAUCGGGUACGAAACAAAAGUGAAAUCAUCCGCUGGCAUUCCUGGGACCAAAAUAGCUGCCUGCUUCCAGCACUGACGUUAUCACAGAGGAAGGAAGGCUCCGGAUACAGGCUGUCCCGUUCCAGGGCUCACGUACCGACCCUGCAGCGAGCCAGCUCCAGGGCUGGCUGUGAGCAGAAGCGAAAUGAGGCAUUCUUGCCACGGCAGGUCGAAGAGAACUCAGUGCAUGAGGUCCCAAAGUUGCCGUCACUGCCAAGCAGCCCCAGAGCGUCACACAAGAAACACUCAGUGACAGCCCAGCAGAGCUCACUGCCUCACGUUAAUGUUCAGGGCUAGAGCCCUCCUGGGGACAGCACAGCACGGGGACAGCUGUGGCAGAUGGACACCCCUAACAGGGGACUCUGUGAGCUGCUGGCCCUGCUGCUGGCAGCCUGGGGGCUGUGGUGCCCUGCCUGCAGAACUGGGUCUGAGCAGGGACAUGGUCAGCAAAGGCAAGGCUUGGCUGUCAGCUCACUAAAAGCAUCUUUACUGUUCCACUUAUCUGGGAUUUUCUGUUACUGGUUUUUUUUUCCUCUAGCACAGAUAGAUUAAAUCCAAGAACCAGCAUAGCCACAAAGCCAAGCGUAUCUAUCAGGCCUCUUUCUACAGAGGCACUUAGGUGUUUCUCAACUGAGACUUGUCACAAAACAAGUGGCUUUCUGAAAGCAGAGGUUGCUGUCAGUUCACAGGCCUCUGGCAUUGGGCUACCCAGGGUCACCCUGAGCCAGCAGCAUGUCCCUGUCUGGCUGCAGCGCUGCCCCUGUCCCCUCCUUACCUCCUGCCUUUUUGCAGCCACUCCCAUCAGGACAUCUGCAUGAAAUGCCAGGAAAAGCACCCAGGUCUGGAGGAACCCUGAUGCCACUGCUUCCAGGAAUCUCCUGUCUCUCAUGCUACAGGAAACAGCCAGCUGGCAAGUCCUUGCUUCAAUUUCUUUUCUCAAGGCAGGACUGUGCAGGCAUGGCCCCAGGCUGGCCCAUCUCUAGCAGCACUCUGUGGAGGGGAGCUGGAAGGGAGGAUUGCAGGGAGACACCAACACCAGAUGCUGCUCUCAGUCCUGCUCACCAUCUGAAACUAAGCCAAAAGCCUGGGGAAGGGCUGCAGGGGCAGGCCAGGAGGGCUGUGGAUGCUUUACAGAUGGAGAAGGCAGGAGCACCCUAGAGAUCCUGCAGAGCCCAGUGGAGAUGGGAGUGGCUGACAGGUGGCACGCUGUGGAUGUAUGACAUCUGCCAGGGUGUGGGGACAGCAGGAUUUGGGGAGCACAGAUGUGCUGAGCAACCUUCUGUGAAGCCCUUGGGAC